AGAGCGAACGCUGGCGGCAGGCCUAAUACAUGCAAGUCGAACGGACCCUUCGGGGUUAGUGGCGGACGGGUGAGUAACACGUGGGAACGUGCCCUUUGGUUCGGAACAACUCAGGGAAACUUGAGCUAAUACCGAAUGUGCCCUUUGGGGGAAAGAUUUAUCGCCAUUGGAGCGGCCCGCGUCUGAUUAGCUAGUUGGUGAGGUAAAGGCUCACCAAGGCGACGAUCAGUAGCUGGUCUGAGAGGAUGAUCAGCCACACUGGGACUGAGACACGGCCCAGACUCCUACGGGAGGCAGCAGUAGGGAAUCUUGCGCAAUGGGCGAAAGCCUGACGCAGCCAUGCCGCGUGAAUGAUGAAGGUCUUAGGAUUGUAAAAUUCUUUCAGUCGGGGACGAUAAUGACGGUACCCGCAGAAGAACGCCCCGGCUAACUUCGUGCCAGCAGCCGC
rnacentral:rRNA from 1 species